AUUGGACAAUGGGGGCAAACCUGAUCCAACCAUGCCGCGUGAGUGAAGAAGGCCCUCGGGUUGUAAAGCUCUUUUGUCCGGAAAGAAAAGCAUUCGGUGAAUACCCGGAUGUUCUGACGGUACUGGAAGUAUAAGCACCGGCUAACUUCGUGCCAGCAGCCGCGGUAAUACGAAGGGUGCAAGCGUUACUCGGGAUUCAUGGGCGUAAAGCGUGUGUAGGUGGUUGUUUAAGUCUGAUGUGAAAGCCCUGGGCUCAACCUGGGAAUGGCAUUGGAAACUGGGCAGCUAGAGUGCGGUAGAGGGUAGUGGAAUUCCCGGUGUAGCAGUGAAAUGCGUAGAGAUCGGGAGGAACAGCUGUGGCGAAGGCGACUGCCUGGACCAGCACUGACACUGAGGCACGAAAGCGUGGGGAGCAAAC
rnacentral:rRNA from 1 species